GUAAACCAAGGAUGUGCUAAUGUGCAUGGAUACAGUCAGACCGAUAGAUGGCGUACUUGGUGUACAAACUGGAGCCUGAAGCUGUGAAGCAGCGUUACCUACUCAUUUGAUGCUAAUGUUUGUGUCACUUUUACACAUCUUUGGUGAAUACUGGCUAGAGCCAGUACGGUUACCUUAAAAGUCUUAAUUUUUCCUGAGGAGUUAUGGAUGCUUUUGUUGGGGUCUGUAAUUCUUUAGGAUUACCUGUUUGGAUAUCUCCUCUGAUCCAUGCUGCCCACCGUCUGAGGAGCGACCGGGCUCGUCGGAGGAAGGCCUACAGGCUAAUGCAGCGCAAACUGGUCUUUCACAAUGUGGGCAUGAAGGAGGAAGGAGAGUGCCCCCCUACCUAUGUUUACCCUGAGCAGGUGAAAACGUUGAUCCGCUCUGUCUUCCCAGAAGACAUCUGUGACUACCCGGACCCCUGCCACCAACAGGUGGUGUAUAUAACCAUGGAGGAUUUGCACAAACUCAGCUAAAGCAUUUGUUGUUUAAGGUUUUGAAUAAUUUGUUACAAAGGCCAUAUUCAACUUUGGGUUUGACUCUGUUUUCCAUGUCAAGCGCCUCAUAAUUAAAACAAUGGUUGGUCAUUUUCAUUACUUGUUUUAGAAGUGCUAGAACAAUUAGAUAUUUGUUUUUUUCAAUAUUUGAUGAGGGCUAUCAGACUACUGUGUGACGUCUAGGGGCGGGUUGACAUAUUUGAAAUAAACUUUAACUAUUUGAAACGUGAAAAAAACAUUCUCUUAAUGCAAAGAUUACAAAGCUAGAGUUUUAAUAAUGUUGCCAUUGAAUAUCGGAGGACAGGUGGCGCCGGAGUAUCUUCAUUAGACAUUGGCCGCUAUACGUUUGAAUUAUUCCUUGUCGUUACAACAAAAAACAACAAAAAAAAGAGACGUCCCUGUUGUUUAACAAUAAGAAAUUAUGAUAAUCGUUAAAUUAUUAAAGUCGGUCACUACCAAAUUAAACUACGUGUGUACAAACAUCCGGUUUGAAAGGUUAAUUCUGUGUAAAGUGUAAGUAACAUGAUAA
ensembl:lncRNA